rnacentral:rRNA from 1 species
GAUGAACGCUGGCGGCGUGCCUAAUACAUGCAAGUCGAGCGAACAGAUGAGGAGCUUGCUCCUCUGACGUUAGCGGCGGACGGGUGAGUAACACGUGGAUAACCUACCUAUAAGACUGGGAUAACUUCGGGAAACCGGAGCUAAUACCGGAUAAUAUAUUGAACCGCAUGGUUCAAUAGUGAAAGACGGUUUUGCUGUCACUUAUAGAUGGAUCCGCGCUGCAUUAGCUAGUUGGUAAGGUAACGGCUUACCAAGGCAACGAUGCAUAGCCGACCUGAGAGGGGUAAUCGCCACACUGGGACUUGAGCACGGGCCCAGCUCCCUCGGGGGGGAAGAAGUGGGGAACUUCCGGAAUGGGCCGAAAGCUUGCCGAGCCACCGCCGGGUGGGUGUUGAGGGUCUUGGGAUGGAAAACCCUUGUAAUAGGGAAAAAAAUAAUGUGAAAGUACUUAUGACCGUCUUGCGGGUCCUUAACAAGAAAGCCCCGGUUACUUACGG